rnacentral:rRNA from 1 species
UACGUAGGGACCGAGCGUUGUCCGGAUUCAUUGGGCGUAAAGAGCUCGUAGGCGGCUGCUCAAGUCGAAUGUGAAAACUCGAGGCUCAACCUCGAGCCUGCAUUCGAUACUGGGCGGCUAGAGUCUGGUAGGGGGAUCUGGAAUUCCUGGUGUAGCGGUGGAAUGCGCAGAUAUCAGGAGGAACACCAACGGCGAAGGCAGCUCGCUGGGACGGUACUGACACUGAGGCGCGAAAGCGUGGGGAGCGAACAGG